GACAGGAAACUCAAGCUUUGGGAUGCUGGGGAAAUUCCCUGAACUCAUGGGGCAGUGUGGAAAGAAGAGGCAGGUCAUUCUAGGUUUCUUGAAUGACUUUAUGAAUCUCUGGACUUCAACCAGCUUUGGAAGCCAAGAUAACAUGAUAACAAGAGACCCUUGUCUCUUGCCACUUGAAGUCAGUGGCCUGAAAGGACCACUGAAUUUUGUUAACUCCCCUACAGAUCACCUACUUUGAAAAUCCAUGCUUUUUCCAUUCAUUCUCUUCUCCAGAGGAAAUUGCUGUUCUGAUUUUUAGUUUUGCCUACUCUUGAACUUUUUAAAAACGGAAUCAUCCAAUGUGUACUCUUUUAUGCCUGGCUUUUUUUUGCUCAACUUAAUGUCUGUGAGAUUCACACAUGUUAUUGUGAAUAUUAGUAGUAUACUUUGUAUUCAAUUAAAUAUUCAUUGAAUAAUUCAAAUUAAGCAUUCAAUUGUAGAAAUAUAUGCAGGUUUAUUUAUUCAUUCAUCUGUUGUUGGACAGUUGGGUCAUUUUCAAUAGUUUGACUAUUAUGAAGUGGCUGUAAACAUUAUUAUAUAAGUCUUUUUGCACAUCAUAGGAAAAGAUUGCCAUAAAAUUAUUGUCACUCUUCCUAUUGAGAUGUGGCACCUAUGUUUCAUACCCGUGAAUCUGAACUGGCCCUGUGGCUGGUUUUGAUCAAUAUAAUUUGGCAGAACUGAUGCUGUGUAACUUGUGCAAGGAUAUCUACAGCUUCCACCUUGGUCUUUUGGAAUGAUUCUUCUUGGAACCCAACCCCUGUGCUUUGAGAAGCCUGAGCUAUGUGUAGAGGCCGUAUGGAAGAGAACCAAGGCACUCCAGCUGAUGGGCCUCACUGGGCUCCCAGCUGAGAGCCAGCACCAACCUGCAACCGUGUAAGCAAUCGUCUUGUACUUUCCAACCUAGUCAAAUUUCAGAUGUCUGCAACUCCAGCCACAUGGAGCAAAAGAUUCACAGAGAUGAGUCCAGUCCCCUAUCAACCCAGAUAAUCCUGAGACAAUAAAUAGCUAUUGUUUUAACCCACUAAGUUUUGAGAUAAUUUUUUACACAGAAACAAUCAAAUUAUUUAUUUUCACUUCUUCAGGAUAAGUAUUAGGAAUAGAACUGCUGGACCAUAUAAUACGUGUGUAUUAAUCUUUAUAGAAAAUUACCAAAUUAUUACCAGAGGUAGUUUUACCUUUUCAUACUCCUACUAGCAAAGUAAGAGUGCCCUGGUUUCUCCAUAUCCUCGUCAUAACUGUUUUUAAAUUUUUAGCUACUGGCAGUUAUUCAUGCUAUCCCAUUGGGUUUUUAAUUUUUAUUUCAUGAUUACUAAUAAUGUUGAAAACUUUUCCUUGUGUUUAAUUAUCAUUUGUAAAUUUUCCUUUGUGAAAUCUAUUUACAAAUCUUUUGUCUAUUUUGUUGUAAAUUGAGUUUUUGCCAUUUUAUAUUUGUC
rnacentral:lncRNA from 1 species